UACAGAGGGUGCGAGCGUUGUCCGGAAUCACUGGGCGUAAAGGGCGCGUAGGCGGCUUGAUAAGCGUGCGGUGAAAGCCCGGGGCUCAACCCCGGGUCGGCCGUGCGAACUGUCGAGCUGGAGCACUGUAGAGGCAGGUGGAAUUCCGGGUGUAGCGGUGGAAUGCGUAGAGAUCCGGAAGAACACCGGUGGCGAAGGCGGCCUGCUGGGCAG
rnacentral:rRNA from 1 species